rnacentral:tRNA from 1 species
AAGAUUUUAGUUUAUAAAAAAAAUAUUAAUUUUGCAUUUUAAAGAAUUAAUCUUA